rnacentral:rRNA from 1 species
GUCGAACGGCAGCACGGGAGCAAUCCUGGUGGCGAGUGGCGAACGGGUGAGUAAUACAUCGGAACGUGUCCUGUAGUGGGGGAUAGCCCGGCGAAAGCCGGAUUAAUACCGCAUACGCUCUACGGAGGAAAGGGGGGGAUCUUAGGACCUCCCGCUACAGGGGCGGCCGAUGGCAGAUUAGCUAGUUGGUGGGGUAAAGGCCUACCAAGGCGACGAUCUGUAGCUGGUCUGAGAGGACGACCAGCCACACUGGGACUGAGACACGGCCCAGACUCCUACGGGAGGCAGCAGUGGGGAAUUUUGGACAAUGGGCGAAAGCCUGAUCCAGCAAUGCCGCGUGUGUGAAGAAGGCCUUCGGGUUGUAAAGCACUUUUGUCCGGAAAGAAAACGUCGUGGUUAAUACCCGUGGCGGAUGACGGUACCGGAAGAAUAAGCACCGGCUAACUACGUGCCAGCAGCCGCGGUAAUACGUAGGGUGCAAGCGUUAAUCGGAAUUACUGGGCGUAGAGCGUGCGCAGGCGGUUCGCUAAGACAGAUGUGAAAUCCCCGGGCUUAACCUGGGAACUGCAUUUGUGACUGGCGGGCUAGAGUAUGGCAGAGGGGGGUAGAAUUCCACGUGUAGCAGUGAAAUGCGUAGAGAUGUGGAGGAAUACCGAUGGCGAAGGCAGCCCCCUGGGCCAAUACUGACGCUCAUGCACGAAAGCGUGGGGGAGCAAACAGGAUUAGAUACCCUGGUAGUCCACGCCCUAAACCGAUGUCAACUAGUUGUUGGGUCUUC